CCUACGGGAGGCAGCAGUGAGGAAUAUUGGUCAAUGGCCGUAAGGCUGAACCAGCCAAGUCGCGUGAAGGAAGAAGGAUCUAUGGUUUGUAAACUUCUUUUAUAGGGGAAUAAAGGUAUCCACGUGUGGAUAUUUGCAUGUACCCUAUGAAUAAGCAUCGGCUAACUCCGUGCCAGCAGCCGCGGUAAUACGGAGGAUGCGAGCGUUAUCCGGAUUUAUUGGGUUUAAAGGGUGCGUAGGCUGUGAGGUAAGUCAGCGGUGAAAUGCCCCCGCUCAACGGGGUGAAGUGCCAUUGAUACUGCCUUGCUGGAAUGCGGAUGCCGUGGGAGGAAUGUGUGGUGUAGCGGUGAAAUGCAUAGAUAUCACACAGAACACCGAUUGCGAAGGCAUCUCACGAAUCCGCGAUUGACGCUGAUGCACGAAAGCGUGGGUAUCAAACAGGAUUAGAUACCCCUGUAGUC
rnacentral:rRNA from 1 species